rnacentral:rRNA from 1 species
CCCUUAGAUGUCCUGGGCUGCACGCGUGCUACAAUGAUACGUGCAACGAGUUAAUCCUGCUCUGAAAGGAGUGGGUAAUCUUAUGAAUGCGUAUCGUGCUUGGGAUUGACCAUUGUAAUUAUUGGUCAUGAACGAGGAAUUCCUAGUAAGCACAAGUCAUCAGCUUGUGCUGAUUACGUCCCUGCCCUUUGUACACACCGCCCGUCGCUCCUACCGAUUGAGUGUUCCGGUGAAUUAUUCGGACUGCAACAGUUAUCUGUCGCGGAAAGUCUUGUGAACCUUUACACUUAGAGGAAGGAAAAGUCGUAACA